rnacentral:rRNA from 1 species
UACAGGGGGUGCAAGCGUUGCUCGGAAUUACUGGGCGUAAAGCGUGCGCAGGCGGCUCGUCAAGUCGGGGGUGAAAGCCCGGGGCUCAACCCCGGAAUUGCCUUCGAAACUGGCGAGCUUGAAUGCGGUAGAGGGUCGCGGAAUUCUUGGUGUAGAGGUGAAAUUCGUAGAGAUCAGGAAGAACACCAGUGGCGAAAGCGGCGACCUGGCCCGACAUUGACGCUCAUGCACGAGAGCGUGGGGAGCAAACAGG